rnacentral:rRNA from 1 species
UACGUAGGAGACGAGCGUUGUCCGGAUUUACUGGGCGUAAAGGGUGCGCAGGUGGCCGCGCGCGUGGGGAGUGAAAUCGCCUGGCUUAACUGGGCGGGGGCUUUCCAGACGGCGUGGCUUGAGCCACAGAGGGGGGCGUGGAAUUCCGGGUGGAGCGGUGAAAUGCGUAGAUAUCGAGAGGAACACCUGCGGCGAAGGCGGGUUGCUGGGCCGACACUGACGCUGAUGCGCGAAAGCCAGGGGAGCGAACGGG